rnacentral:rRNA from 1 species
UACGUAGGGGGCAAGCGUUGUCCGGAAUUAUUGGGCGUAAAGAGCGCGUAGGCGGUCCGAUAAGUCGGCUGUGAAAGUCCAGGGCUCAACCCCUGGAAAGCCGGCCGAUACUGUCGGACUAGAGUCCGGAAGAGGCGAGUGGAAUUCCCGGUGUAGCGGUGAAAUGCGCAGAUAUCGGGAGGAACACCAAUGGCGAAGGCAGCUCGCUGGGGACGGUACUGACGCUGAGGCGCGAAAGCGUGGGGAGCAAACAGG